GACUACCCGGGUAUCUAAGCCCGUUCGCUCCCCACGCUUUCGUACCUUAACGUCAGGUGUGGCCCAGCAAGCUGCCUUCGCCAUUGGUGUUCCUCCCGAUAUCUACGCAUGUCACUGCUACACCGGGAAUUCCGCUUGCCUCUACCAACCUCUAGUGUUACGGUUUGAGAAACAGUCUAUAUGGUUGAGCCAUAAGAUUUCGCAUCUCACCUGUAACGCCAUCUGCGUACGCUUUACGCCCAGUAAUUCCGGAUAACGCUUGGACCCUACGUAUUACCGCGGCUGCUGGCACGUAGUUAGCCGGUCCUUAUUCUUCGUCUACAGUCAUAAUCUUCGACGACAAAAGCAGUUUACACUCCGAAAAGCGUCUUCCUGCACGCGGUAUUGCUCCAUCAGACUUUCGCCCAUUGUGGAAGAUUCCUCACUGCUGCCCCCCGUAGG
rnacentral:rRNA from 1 species